AAUAAAUUCAUUUUUUAGUUUUUAGAUACAAUGGUUUGACUCUUUGUCUUAUUUGAAUUACUUUUUGUGAUUAGUAUUUUUAUUGCUACUAGAUGAUAAAACAUGAAUAACACUUUACGUGUGACUAAUUUUUUUAAAGUUUUUUAAUAAAAUUUUCAAAUAAGACGAGUGGUCGAAGCGUUAAACACAAAAAUCGAAAAAUAAAGUUAUU
rnacentral:pre_miRNA from 1 species